CUGGGUCACCUCCCACCCAUGUUUAUUGUACCUUGUUGCUUCGGCGGGCCCGCCUCACGGCCGCCGGGGGGCUUCUGCCCUCUGGCCCGCGCCCGCCGAAGACACCAUUGAACACUGUCUGAAGAUUGCAGUCUGAGCAAUUAGCUAAAUAAGUUAAAACUUUCAACAACGGAUCUCUUGGUUCCGGCAUCGAUGAAGAACGCAGCGAAAUGCGAUACGUAAUGUGAAUUGCAGAAUUCAGUGAAUCAUCGAGUCUUUGAACGCACAUUGCGCCCCUUGGUAUUCCGGGGGGCAUGCCUGUCCGAGCGUCAUUGCUGCCCUCAAGCACGGCUUGUGUGUUGGGCCCCGUCCUCCUUCCCGGGGGACGGGCCCGAAAGGCAGCGGCGGCACCGCGUCCGGUCCUCGAGCGUAUGGGGCUUUGUCACCCGCUCUUGUAGGCCCGGCCGGCGCUUGCCGACAACCAUCAAUCUUUUUUCAGGUUGACCUCGGAUCAGGUAGGGAUACCCGCUG
rnacentral:rRNA from 1 species